UCCUGGCUCAGGAUGAACGCUGGCGGCGUGCUUAACACAUGCAAGUCGAACGAUGAUCCYMRCUUGYKGGGGGAUUAGUGGCGAACGGGUGAGUAACACGUGAGUAACCUGCCCUUGACUCUGGGAUAAGCCUGGGAAACCGGGUCUAAUACUGGAUAUGACCUUCUGGCGCAUGCCAUGUUGGUGGAAAGCUUUAUUGCGGUUUUGGAUGGACUCGCGGCCUAUCAGCUUGUUGGUGGGGUAAUGGCCUACCAAGGCGACGACGGGUAGCCGGCCUGAGAGGGUGGACGGCCACACUGGGACUGAGACACGGCCCAGACUCCUACGGGAGGCAGCAGUGGGGAAUAUUGCACAAUGGGCGCAAGCCUGAUGCAGCGACGCCGCGUGGGGGAUGAAGGCCUUCGGGUUGUAAACCUCUUUCAGUAGGGAAGAAGCGA
rnacentral:rRNA from 1 species